AUGGCUCAGGAUGAACGCUGGCGGCGUGCUAACACAUGCAAGUCGAACGGAACUCAGAGGAAGAGAGACUUCGGUCAAACGGAGACUGAGUUAGUGGCGGACGGGUGAGUAACGCGUGAGCAACCUGCCUUUCAGAGGGGGAUAACGUUUGGAAACGAACGCUAAUACCGCAUAAGACAGUAUGGUCGCAUGACCAAGCUGUCAAAGAUUUUAUCGCUGAAAGAUGGGCUCGCGUCCGAUUAGGCAGUUGGUGAGGUAACGGCUCACCAAACCGACGAUCGGCAGCCGGACUGAGAGGUUGAACGGCCACAUUGGGACUGAGACACGGCCCAGACUCCUACGGGAGGCAGCAGUGGGGAAUAUUGCACAAUGGGGGGAACCCUGAUGCCAGCAACGCCGCGUGAAGGAAGACGGUUUUCGGAUUGUAAACUUCUGUUCUUAGUGACGAAGAAGUGACGGUAGCUAAGGAGCAAGCCACGGCUAACUACGUGCCAGCCGCUGC
rnacentral:rRNA from 1 species